UCAUCUUCCUUAGGUGAGAAAAGCUUCCACUUUUACUGUUUUUAGUUUAUAUAUACUUAUAUAUAAAUAAGUAUAAUUACAUCACCAGUUCAGUGAUGUAAUUUGAGACAGGAACUGGAGGUCAGCUUUUGAAUGCGUGUAAGAGAUGGAUCAUGUUGAGAAUUGUAAGGUAAGUGCAAGUGAUGCUUUGGGGGAACAUUGUAGCUUAAUUACAACUAGACAUUCAUCUAGGAAAGCCCCCCAAACUCUGAUCACUUCCUGCUUCUUUCAGCAUCACUGUCAUAGCAAAACUGAUACCACUUGGUUAGGGAAUGAAUGGAACAGUAAGUAGUGAGUUUUAACUCUUGUACAUUCAUUUUUUAGGUAUGUAUUUAAGUUGGUAAAUAUCAUCAGCCAGAGGUAUUAUAACAAUAAUUGUAGUGGCGACAAAAUAUAAUGGAAGGAUCUGGCACGCCUGGUUUUAUGGAUAUUAGGGUGCUCAAGUUGAACCUGGUCAGGAACAUAGCUUUAAUUUCCAAAGCUUCAUACUAUAGAAGUACCUAACAGUGAAGUUUAGUAUAACCUGCUCCUUUACAAGUUAGUAUUGUCUUGUUUCUCCAUCACUUCACACAUGAAAUCCCAUUUGGGCAACAAGUUGAGAGCCAGGGAAUAGUUGGAUUUCCUUGAGUUGUUUUUGCAGAUAAUUAACUGCAUGCCCCCUCUACUGAGGCUUGUCCUGGUUCUGCAGAAGGAAAGGAGGCUGAGGAUAAUGGUGCAGAUGUUAUUCAUGUAAAUGCAUGGGGAACAAAUGGAUGGAAUGGAUAUCUGUACAGUAAAUGUUACUAUUGCCACAUUGUCAUGGGGAAGUGAAAUUGGAGGCUACCCACUAAGUGCAUUUGUACAGCCCCUAGCACAACUGGGCCCUGGUUCGUGACUAGGCUUCUAAGUAUUAAAAGGCUUUGCAGAAACUAAAUAGGAGCAAAUGGCUUCUUUGCACUGGGUGCUUCAGCCAUUUGCUUGGCUGUCUUAGCACUACCCACCAGCAUAGCAGUAAUUGGGCGAAGCCCCGGAAUGGGACAGGACAGCGGCAGUAUAUGGUAGUGCCUCAUGGGGACUCAUAAGCAAUAGUGGCUCUGAGUGCCAGGAGUGGCACGAGCUGAGCAGAAGUCUGUGAGAAAUGUCAGCUAAUUAAAACCUGCUUGUAUUCUUUACAGAGCACCAUUCUUCCAGUAGGGAUUCAUCCAAAUGUACGUCCUGCUGUUCCAUCCAACAGAUCUGUGUGUUUUCAUUUCCUAAAUCUGUCGUGAUGCUCAGUUCUUAGCAGCAGAACUCAUAGUACUUUACGAAGAGAGCCAGAGGAUCAAACUCUUUUGGUCAUGCAGCACCGCAAUGUGCUUUAUCAUCACAAGCAUCCAGAACUGAAGAGUCCAGCCAAUCCAGAAGUGAAAGCAGAACUGGGCAAAACAAACACAACCAUAAAGGACAAGAGUGAAUUUGCCUAGCUCUGCCUUUCUGGCAGCAAAUGGGGAAAAGAUUGGGCCACUGAGAGGAUGUCUGCUCCUCGUGCCAGUUCAGAGGGGUUCAAGCAUUUCUUAAGCAUGUAUUCUCAGACUGGGGGUGAGUUAGAAUCUGAAAAAUCUCCCUGGGUCUCAAAAAGGCAUGUUUCUUUCUCAUUCCAGAAAGAAUGCAGAUAGAGAGAGCAGGAGAAUUUUUUUCCCCCUCCUAUUUUACUGAAGAAUUUUUUUUUACCAAUUUUUUUGUCGCUAGGAAUCAUCCAGGCUUGUCCAGACAAUGCGAGGGCAGAGAAUUAUGCAGAGAAGAUAAUUUCUAUGGGACACAUGCAUUCUCACUUGUCAUCUGUCUGCAGAGGGAGGGAAGAGGGGGAGAGAGAGAGAAAAAUCUAGUGAGAAAUGUAAUGAUGAGAGCAAGAGCUGAACCACAUCAGUCAGUAGCAAACUCACUUGUGGGGAGGUUUUUUUCUGGAGGAUGACAUACCUCUAGGAAAGUAUUGGAUGCAUUGAGUUUGCCAGUCUCAGCUGAAAGGCUGUGUGAGACCUAUAUACAAAUCUCUGUACCCUAUCACUUUGGUAUCUGAGUGCCAUGCUGGUGAAUGGUGUCAUAAAGAUGCAAUAGAGACUUCAA